UAACAUAAAACUUGGGAGCUUCAAAAAUAUUGUAAGUGUUCUUUCUAUUAUUAACAACAGAAUUCAUAGUUUCAUAAACUGGAGCGAUGCCUCGAGAUUUUCGUAAAUUUGGAGGCUGCCUGUGAACAUUUUUGUUGUGUUUCCCAAUUUUAUCUCAGAAAACUAACUGUAUUUCUACCAAGAAAGACCAUGUUGGGAUGAAGUGUGCUCCAUAAACGAGAUAAACCUUAGUUCAUCUCAUGGAAAGAGCGGAUUCCUUGUGGGAGAUAGGAGUCAAAAGAACUCGGAUGAAUUUUGAGCUUUUGUGUAUCUUUAGUGAUCCAAUUAUCAUUCUCCUGACUUUCUGUUCCAGUGGUCGUACUGUUGCAGUGUCACUCCUAGUGUCAUCUGAGCAGUGUUGGCAAUGAUUGUUAUUUUAACACUUUACCCAUUACUGAUCUCAGAAUCCUGUACCCAUGGGUAGAGAACUAAAGAACAGGUGCACACCAUUGUAUCUGGGACGGCACAGUUACAUCCCAAGCCAACUCCUACAUCUCUCUGUUUUACUUAAAAUUGCUAUUAAGACACGUGAUGACUAUCCAAUUCUUCACCUGACUCUUAACAUUUUAGAAAGGAAUUUCUGAAGGUCAGAAACUACAUACCAAGCCAAUAGUAAUUUACAUAUUAAAUAAAGCACUAACUGUAUUUAAUUUUGUAUGAGGGAUAUAUUUGUUUUGGCAAAAUAAUAUAGGAACUGAUGUCAAUACUGACUGUAUCAAAAUACAAUAUCUUCGCAUUGGCCUUUUUUGUCAUAUGCUCAGAUCCUUAAGUAGUACACCUUAGAAUGUGGUCACUAAGCUCUAGAGAAAGCUAUUGCAGAUUUUCACAGUUUUCCCAUGUAGAUUAUUGUAUUACUAAAAGUGUCUAUAGAAUAAGGAGCCAGAAAAUGGCUCUGUCAUUAAGGUGCUUGCUGUGCAAGCAUGAGUACUUGAGUUCCGAUCCUCUGCAACCCUUUCAGCAGCUGUGUUUAGUAAUAUUGAACUCUAAGCCCAGCCCUAAAGAAGCAGAGGUAUGAGGAUCCUGGGGGCUUGUUGGCCAGACAGUCUGGUGAGUCACUGAGCGCAAUAACAGGCCUUGUCUCAGCACACAAGGCGGAAAGCUGGAGAGGGACCAGAGGUGAAGAGCACCUUUUGUUCCUGUGGAGGACCAGAGUUUAAUUCCCAAGAUCCUCCUCAGGUAGGCCACAACCACAUGCAACUACAACUUCAGGGAUCCAACACCCCCUUCUGGCCUCUGCAGGCGUCUCUGACACAGACACAUAACUAGAAUGAUCGAGGUACACACCUGACUUCUAUCUCUGUUCUACACACACACACACACACACACACACACACACACACACACACUAGGUAAAACAGAGUGAUGCUAAGAAGAAUUAACUUAGCUUAUCAAAUGUUUUUAAUUCAAAAUGUAAGUAUAAUACUUAAAAUUUAUUUAACCUAAAUAAUGUAACUUUCUUUUAUUUUUUUUCUACUAAUGAAUACUAUUGCUCAGCAGUUAAUGAAGGCUUACUAAAAUCAGAGCUUUGACCAAAAUAAAACCUACACAGGACAUUUAUAUAUAUGGUAAAUUGGACCUAUAUAAUUAUAUUAAAAGAAUAUAUUUUGAGUGUUAUGAAAUAUGGUUAGCUGAAGUUCAUCUUUGCUUCAAAUAUGCUUUUAAUAUUUGUCCAUUCCUGAAUUGCAUUAUAAACUCCCAUGUUGUUAACGUUCAAUAGCAAAAUAAAAUGCACGUGUUAAAAAUGUACAAAUUUAGUUUCAAAUUCCUACUGUACUUGGUUAAAUUCGUGAGUAAAUUGCUGUUUUUAAUGAUCAUUCCUAAGUUUUGACAUUGGAGAGGUGAGGAUAUACUGUAAAUAUAAAUCGUUAACCAGUUAGCAAGGGGCAAGUGUCACACAAGUAUUCAAUAAAAAUCAACAUAAC
rnacentral:lncRNA from 1 species